CGUCCAGCCCGCUCAGAAACUCAAAGGAAUUAGACGGGGGCCCGCACAAGCGGAGGAGCAUGUGGUUUAAUUCGAUGAUACGCGAGGAACCUUACCUGGGCUCGAACGUAAGAUGACUGUAGGUGAAAGCUUACAUCUCUUCGGAGCAUUUUACGAGGUGCUGCAUGGUUGUCGUCAGCUCGUGCCGUGAGGUGUCGGGUUAAGUCCCAUAACGAGCGCAACCCUACCUUUAGUUGCCAUCAGGUAAUGCUGGGGACUCUAAAGGAACUGCCUACGCAAGUAGUGAGGAAGGCGGGGAUGACGUCAAAUCAGCACGGCCCUUACGUCCAGGGCUACACACGUGCUACAAUGGCCGAUACAGAGGGCAGCUACCUGGUGACAGGAUGCAAAUCUCCAAAGUCGGUCUCAGUUCGGAUCGGAGUCUGCAACCCGACUCCGUGAAGUUGGAUUCGCUAGUAAUCGCGCAUCAGCCAUGGCGCGGUGAAUACGUUCCCGGGCCUU
rnacentral:rRNA from 1 species